AGAAUCAACGCUGGCGGCGUGCCUAACACAUGCAAGUCGCACGAGAAAGUGGAGCAAUCCAUGAGUACAGUGGCGCACGGGUGAGUAACACGUGAAUCAUCUACCUCCGAGUGGGGAAUAACUGAGAGAAAUCUUAGCUAAUACCGCAUAACACUUACGAGUCAAAGCAGCAAUGCGCUUGGAGAGGAGUUCGCGGCCGAUUAGCUAGUUGGCGGGGUAAUGGCCCACCAAGGCGAUGAUCGGUA
rnacentral:rRNA from 1 species